UUCCGGUUGAUCCUGCCGGACCCGACUGCUAUCAGAGUGGGACUAAGCCAUGCGAGUCAACAUAGCAAUAUGUGGCAUACGGCUCAGUAACACGUAGUCAACAUGCCCAGGGGACGUGGAUAACCUCGGGAAACUGAGGAUAAACCGCGAUAGGUCAUCACUUCUGGAAUGGGUAAUGACUUAAACCUAUAUGGCCCCUGGAUUGGACUGCGGCCGAUCAGGCUGUUGGUGAGGUAAUGGCCCACCAAACCUGUAACCGGUACGGGCUCUGAGAGGAGGAGCCCGGAGAUGGGCACUGAGACAAGGGCCCAGGCCCUAUGGGGCGCAGCAGGCGCGAAACCUCUGCAAUAGGCGAAAGCUUGACAGGGUUACUCUGAGUGAUCUCCGCUAAGGAAAUCUUUUGACACCUCUAAAAAUAGUGUAGAAUAAGGGGUGGGCAAGUCUGGUGUCAGCCGCCGCGGUAAUACCAGCACCCCGAGUGGUCGGGACGAUUAUUGGGCCUAAAGCAUCCGUAGCCGGUUCCUUAAGUCCUCCGUUAAAUCCACCUGCUUAACAGAUGGGCUGCGGAGGAUACUAUAGAGCUAGGAGGCGGGAGAGGCAAGCGGUACUCAGUGGGUAGGGGUAAAAUCCGUUGAUCCAUUGAAGACCACCAGUGGCGAAGGCGGCUUGCCAGAACGCGCUCGACGGUGAGGGAUGAAAGCUGGGGGAGCAAACCGGAUUAGAUACCCGGGUAGUCCCAGCUGUAAACGAUGCAGACUCGGUGAUGGGUUGGCUUUGAGCCAACCCAGUGCCGCAGGGAAGCCGUUAAGUCUGCCGCCUGGGGAGUACGGUCGCGAGACUGAAACUUAAAGGAAUUGGCGGGGGAGCACCACAAGGGGUGAAGCCUGCGGUUCAAUUGGAUUCAACGCCGGA
rnacentral:rRNA from 1 species